GCUGAUAUUGGUAAUGAGAGAGCACUUGGUUGAUAGCUUAUAAUAAUGUCGAUAUCUUAUUGUCUUUUUUCUUUUUUUCAUUCAACAAAUACAACAGUUAAAUAAUAAUGACAAAUAAGAAACAAAAAAGAUGCUAACAUGAGUAAACAUUUGAUUUAAUAGCCAUAGACUGAAAAGUAUUUUGCUCAGUAACAUAGGAAUUUUGAAUGUCUGUACAACCAUAUGAAAUAAUACAAAAAAUUAAAAAAUAUUAGGUAAAUAUUUCUGUUACGAUGUUUAAAAGAGUAACAUUUUUAGAUAAGCUUAUAGAAAAUACAAAUAAUUGAGUUCUACUAAAGAUUUCAGUACAGGGCUGUUAAAUCUGUCAGGGGCAAAAGUAAACUGUAUUAUUGUAUACAUCAUAACACAAUUUAGUUUUAGAGUAGCCAGACUGGUAACUACUAGCUGUUUCAGAUACUGAGGGCUGAUACUGAUAUGGCGAUAACUUCAAAAUUUAUCGGCCCGGUUAUUUGGUCAACAGAUUAAUCGGUCGAUCUCUAGUCUAAAAGCUCCGGUGAUGAAUUGAAAACAGGUUCUGAAAUAGUCAGGGAAUAAAUUUUAUGCUUCAUAACAACCUUAAAGAAACCAUAAUACAGAGGUUUACUAGUUCUUAGUAUUUAUUAGCAUUGUUUGAAACUUCUUGUAGGGGGUAGGUGUCACUCAGGUUGAUUAACUUCACACAGCUGAGGCAGCCUUACUUUUUCUUCUUGUUUAUUUCUUAUUUAGUUUCUUAUUUAGUUUUAUGAUGAGCGAUAGACUUUCGUGUCAAAAUAAAGAAAAGUGAGAUUUUUGUGUCUGAACAUGUAACUCACACAGAGUACACAGGAUACAGUCAGCAAAGACGUAAGAGGUACUUUCUUUUUUGUCCACAGGGGGCGCCAAAUUGACACAGGAAAUCCUUACAGGAGCUUUAAGCUAAAGAGACUACAAACAAGUUAUCUGGGGAAAAAAGGUGAUUUGUUUCCCACAAACUGGCUGCCUCCAAAUUUUUGUUUAGGUAGGUCAUUGAUAACCCAUAAAAUCUUCAAUGAAUUAUUUGAUACCUCUAUAUAAAGCUGUUACAUUUACUCUUCUUGGACUAUUUUUAAUUAGAUUUGCAGCAGAUAAAGUAGUUAUUUAUUGUGAUAUUUUAAUGUAUCUUGCUGUCAUUGGACUGAAAUUCCAUCCCUUGUUUAUGAGACACAUAUUCAUAAGUGUGGUAAUACUUAAAACAUAUUUGACACACACUCCCUAACACUAAUUUAUUAGACUUAAUCACAGCAUUUGUUUUGUUAUGACUUAUUUAUCACUGAGCUGUAGCCUGAGAACAAAAGGGAGUGGGAUGAUAAAUAUUGUGAGUUCUUGCUGUAAAACUCUUUAUAAUAGAUUCAAAGCAGCCUGAUUUAAAUUAUAUAAAUGGCAGAGUAUUUACAAUAAAGACUUUAUUCAUGUUCAGCCUUGAUUUACAUCCACUAGCCUGAUUGCUGAUAUUUUUCGGACCACGUGAUUACCUACUUACCCUACACUGCAUGUAAAGAGAGUUUAGCGAUGCUUCACCCUUCUGGCCACAGUGUGCUAAUGCAUAUUAUCUUACAGUAUUUACAUAGAGUGUCAAAUUAUGCACAUUUUUUUCUCUUCUUGAAUUAUUUUUUAUUCAUAUUUAUUCCUGAAAAAUCCAUAUCUUAGAUUUUUUUAAAAUCCUAUUCUUAUUUUUGUAUGUUUAUUGGUAUUUUUGUUGAUUAUUGUUCACAAAUAGUCUAAAAUUGUAAAAAAAAUCAGCAUAGGCAGGCCUUGAUUUGUCCACAGCUUUAGAGAUUUAUCUGACAGUAAUAAUGCUUUUAAAAAACCCACAAAUACACACAGUUGUCAGGGGUUACUCCCUACAAAGGGAGCAUGAAAGACCCUGGAAACAUGACUGUGGGACCUUGAAUACUCUCCUGUUUCUCAUUGUAAUUUCUUGCAUACUGAUGCCCCCUGCAGGUAAACUGGAGAAACAGCUCUGCUUGAAGAAAAAGAAAACUACUUAACAUUUGUUUUAUGUUUUCUAAUGUUUUUUUCUCAGUAAAUUUGAGUUUUUUAGUGAGAUAAAAAUUCUCUGGAUUUCUUGAAAAAAUCUAAUUCUCAUUAUUUAUGGACAGAAUGAACAGUGGAUCAUGCAAGUGUACCUUUAAUUAUUCUGUGCAAUAUCAAAUGAAUGAUUUAUCCUAUGUGAAAUAAAAAUAUGUGCGUUUCUCUAUUUUCUCCCCCUUUUUUGCCUGGAAGGUAACACUAAAAAUGAUCAGAUCUGUUUUGUCGGCAUCUUUUAAACACCUGUCGUGCGCACAAAGCUUUCUAUUGCAGUAUGUUCAGACUCAAACUCUUGGCAAAGUGCCAACAGAAACCAGUCGACCGUUGUACCGUCACACUAUCUCACUGUGCUGUUUGUUAUCAUUCAAAAGUGCUUAUUACCUAGCCUAGCAACUAAUACAGGUGUGUCUAGGACCCGCCCUGAACCAAUGCUAUGAGUCACUUCAAAUGUGUUUAUACGUGUGUGCUGUUCUAUGUCUGCAUCUGUCUGUGUGUGUGUGUGUGUGAGUGUCAUAAACCGGCCGGUUACACAUGAGGUGUAAAUGUGAAAAGAAAAUUCAGAGGUGUGCCUGAGCUUUUACUACGCUGUGGGAAAUUUUGUAUUCCUUCUCCCAGUAAGAUAACUGAGUAUCUGUAUUGUUAGUUUUUCUCCUUAAAAGAUUUAUAGAGACAGGCAGCUUCAUAAAGUACUUCAUCUUAUACGACAAAACAAUGUAAUCUUACCUGAAUAAAGUUUUAGUGCUUUUUGGAUUCAAAGUCCAUAACAUAUCUCAUCAUCUUGUGGUUUUAUUACUUUGGGGUUAAUGUCAACUUAGAUAGUGAGGAGGAGAAAUCCUGAGUCGUGUACACAGUGUAACCACACAAAAAUACACACCCUAAGCCUUUAGUAAAUGUACCUGCAGAUAAGCAAAUAUUAAAGAGGGAAAAGGCGGCAACAACAAAGGUCUUUCGAGCGUAAAAUCACUGCGGAAAGACCUCUGAUGUUGAGGGUUUUAUUUUCCCGUGAGAGCUGAGAUCAUGUCCUGUAAUAUUCUGGGGAGUUUUUGCGAGUUUGGGGGCUGGUGGAGUUCACAUUCCAGGAUUACACAGAAAUUCCUCUGAAAGCUGGACAUUUUAAGGCUGAUCCUGAUAACCGUGUUUGUUUCAAAUUGUGUCUGGGAAACAUUAAUCAGUUAAUCAAAAUAGGAUGAGUGUUCUGGCGUACUUAAAUAAGGGAGAUUCAGAUAAAUAUUUACUUAAAACUAAUUAAAAAAAACAUGAACUGGAUGAGAAUAAAAGAGAGCUUUGAAAAGAGUCAAGAAACUGGGGCUUCCUGCUGUAAUAAAAAUCCUGGCUGCACUUCUGUCGCUCACACAUCCUGUUAACAACGUCAAUGUGAGGACCUUGGUUUCAGUUGUACUAAAGUUAAUGAUCUAAAGUCUAAAGAACCAUCUGUGUGAUAACAAGCUGCAGCGCAUACUCAGAUUAGGACACCAGGUCAAUAAGCAAGACAAUGUCAGCUCACUAAACCAGCUGUCAGUCUUUAAUUUCGCACUGUUUACUCAGUAAGUGAUGUCAGUGUGAAGCGUCUGGAGAUGAUAUCACACUCAUGUCUCACAGUCAUUAUUAGUCACCAGGCUUAAUACGUGAGAGUUAACCUGGUGUUGCCCCAUCCCUGUCAUCCAUUCAUCAUAUUUCACUCCCAUUAGGUCACACAUCUUAGUCUGUUUUCUCCUCCAGAUGUCAUUUUAAGUCAACAUUACAUUAAAAUCUCCCAUUUACAACCUGGGAAGAGGCAGUGACCCACACUGGGUUUUUUGCACAGCAAGCAAACACCAAGUUAAAAAUUGACUCCCAGGCGGUAAAAGAAGGCCAACACAGGCCUUACUUUCUCCAGAAAAAACACCUGAUGCAUACAGGAUGUGUAGUUAAUAUGAGAAUAAGCCAUAAAGGAAGAUAAACCAGAGGGUGGGGCAGUGAAUGACAGAUGACUAUCACUUAAUCUGAUUGUAGAUCCCUCCCCGUUGUAUCCACCACACCUUACUGUGUGUGACACUUUAAUCUCCCACAGAGACUCUUAUCUUGCGCCACAAAAAGUCAAAUAAUACAUGCAAAUGAAAAACCUGUACAACCAUCUCAUUAUAGGUCGGAGAUUUCCUCACAAUAAGGCCAAACCCCCUCUGCUGGGGACCUUAUUUUUAAUGGCUAGGUUCCAAUUAAUCUUCACCUCGAAGUACAGAGACAAUCACUGUCUUUGGUUCCUUUGGCAUGAGAGCUGUUAUUGUGUUGGAAAACAACUCAUGUUCAGUCUUGCAGCAAGAACCAAAAAAGCAAACAUGCAAAAGAAAACUUUCUUGACCCAGUGGGAAAGACAUGUAGGUGUGUCUUUAGGAGUGUGUGUGUGUGUCCUCGUCUUUCAAGAAUUUGUUGCUGUGAUAGAUGAGGCUGUCAACAUAUGUUUGAAAGUGAAUGCAGAAUAUUAAGCAAAGACAAGUCAAGUCAAGUUAUAUUUCUCAAACAUGUAUAUAAAGGGUCCGGGCAGUGGAAAAUGUUUCAGUAUUGUCAUGCUAAAUGGCUUGAAAUUCCGGUGUAGGGCGUUGGUUUCUGCAAGUUGUCAGUUUAGUUGUUCCUCGGAAGCAUGCCUCCCUCCACUCCUAUCUCACCCUGUCUCACUACAUUCACACUUCUGUGUGACAGUGUGAUAGUUGAGUGGAUUCAGUGACUAUGGCUUGAGCCUGAAGGGCAAGAAGGGACACUGUGACAGUCAGAAAAUUGAAUAAAGAUAUUGAAGUAUUUAAAACAUUAAAAAAAGUCUUUUCCGCCUUUUGUAAUUUAAUAAAUCUACAAUUAGUGGUUUUCUCCUUGAACUUUUGCCCACUCUUUCCACUCCCACAUUCAACAGAAUCUGUGUCUUUCACUGACACUCCAUGUGACCCUCCUUCUGUCUUCUUGUCCCUUUCACUUUUCAAACUUCAGACACGCCCACCUGUGACAUGAAUGAAAAGCAGGCAGAGAGGGGAAAAAAUGGUGGAGAGAGAGAGCAAGAGAGAGAGCGAGAGAGAGAGAGAGAGUUAAGCAAAAUGGGAAAGUAAAACGUUUGCCUGGUGAACUUGGUGUCACUCGGUUUUCUGCUUCAUUUAACACUGAGUCCUCAAAUGGACUCCUUUUGACCUCAAGAAUGUUGAACUUUGGAUGACAAAUUCUUUGCACAACCACCCUCUCUUCCACUCACUCCUCUUGAGUUUAAAUGCGUGGGCUAUUUCUUGUCAAUUUGGUUACGAAAAUCACUUGAUGAAGUAGCCUUUCUUUGACUCUACAUUCAUUUUCAAGCUGUUAAAGAGGGGAAAAAAAUGUGCAGCUGUAACUCGUCUAAAAGUAAUUUCAUUAUGGACUGACAGCAUUGAAAAAGUGAAACUGGGUGCACAAAAAGUCAUUAAAGCCAGAACAAUAAGAGAUUAGUUAAUAGGUUGAGCUUUAUGUAUUCAUUCAAAGGCUAACUGUAAAAUAAACAAAGGCUAUCCACCUCACUGUUAAUAUGUGUGAGUAAAGAGUCAAUUCCUGAACAUAAGUCCCAUUGCCAAACUUAGGACAGAGUUCAUAAGAAUACAUAGUUAUGCAAUCGUAGUAGGAAGAGGUGUGGGCCUAAAGGCUUUUUUUUUCUGUGGUUAAGUUGGAUGUUAGUCUUUUCAAAACACAAUAGGCCUAUAGUCAACAUACUCAAGCAUUAUCACAUGAAAAGAACUGGGUAGGCCUACUUUUAAAAAGGGAAUACUGUAUAUCAGUACUCAUUCACAGGCUAAGCAGUAUUUGUUUUAUUUCACGAUUAACACCCUUUCCCCACUAACUAGUUCCACCUCCCUGACUGGACUGUUGCCAGGCGACCAUUUAAACAUUUUACAACCCACUUGCUAAUUUGUGCACGUCCACACAUAAACACACACACACACACUGGCCUAACUGCAGAAAGUUGCUCUGUAUUUUUCUAGUAUUUUACCAAGUCUGUAGCCUUCUCCUUACAGUAUGACCAUUCACUUCCAUAUUCAUUAGCUUACAAUAACAGCCGGUCUGUGUUCACCUCCUCUUACCCACCAUCGGAACUCUUUUAAUCCGUAUGUAGGCUAUGUAUUAAAUGCUACAGAGAUUGUUGGUGGUAGGGGAGACCAGGGCUUGUUGUCACAUGAGUAAGUUGUCACACUGCAAUUAUCUUUGCCACCAGAGGACGCAAGUAAAAAGUGGAAUGCUAGUUUUAUUCCUUUACAUGGUCAGGGGUCGUGUCCUGUCUGAGAACAGAUGAGCACAUAGUAAGCUGAGAUGAGCGCCAAUUCUUUACUUAGCGCCGCGUGACCCAAAGUAAAAAAAAAUUAAACUUUAUAUAUUUUAAAAUAAGCUUCUUCCUGAUACAAAUCCUUGCAGUGAAACAUUUGGACUUGUUAGAGGAGAGAUUAAGGCAUCCUGUCAUACCUCAGUUUUUGUUGUUUUAAGCUAACUUUAAGCAAACUAGUUGAUUAGAAAACAUGGUAGUUUGGGGCAACAUGUCUCAGUCAUUUUGGUGUAAGUUGUCACAUGCUUAAAAGGGAUUAAAAUUAACACAGAAUGUCUGCUUAUCACUGGUUUUUCAUAUUGAAAUUUUAACUUUAUUCUUACAGAGAGAAGAGUGGUUUAAAGGAGAGGAGAAAAUGAAAAACAUGGUCAGGAUUUACAAAAGAAAAACAGAACAUGGCAGUGCAGUACCUGACGUGAUGUUGAGGGCAGUCAGGCAGGUGACCCGAGCUCGGUACUGCAAAACAUUCACCCCA